rnacentral:rRNA from 1 species
GCGGUGGAGCAUGUGGUUUAAUUCGACGACAACGCGAAGAACCUUACCGAGGGCUUGACACUCCCCUGACCGCGUAUGAAAGUACGUUUUCACCCUCGGGUGACAGGGAGACAGGUGGUGCAUGGUUGUCGUCAGCUCGUGUCGUGAGAUGUUGGGUUAAGUCCCGCAACGAGCGCAACCCCUACGUUUAGUUGCUAACGCGUGAAGGCGAGCACUCUAGACGAACUGCCGUUGACAAAACGGAGGAAGUGGGGAUGACGUCAAAUCAUCAUGCCCCUUAUGUUCUGGGCUACACACGUGCUACAAUGGCCGGUACAGACGGACGCAAAGCCGCGAGGUGGAGCAAAUCCUAAAAAGCCGGUCUCAGUUCGGAUUGCAGGCUGCAAUUCGCCUGCAUGAAGUCGGAAUCGCUAGUAAUCGCAGGUCAGCAUACUGCGGUGAAUACGUUCCCGGGCCUU